AAACCGCWUWGAAUUAAACGAAUAGUGCCUCGAAUACCGAUGAUAGAGAGGUUCACUCUUUGUGAGACAAAGUGUGUCGGCGGAGUAUAAUAUAGGUCUUCGGACAGUUUAUUUGCUUCGUUGGCACGUACAUGCUUUGUGUUAGCAAAGUGGGUAUUUUUCUCUAUCGGUAGGGCGUCGUGGCCGGCAAUGUCAUUGCAAAUCCCGGGAGUGAAGGACUUUUUCCGUACGAGCGUACCUCUUUCGGGGGGGAAAUUUGUACGCGAUAAAAGUUUUCGCUUUAUCGUGGUGAGUUUCGACGUUGCCGGGGAGUUUUGCUAGGCGCUAGCUUAACUCGUACAACUUGCAUAUAUGCGUUGUUGGCUAAGGUUGGCUUAUCGUCGGUGUUAUGAGAAUGAACGUCUUUACGGACAGAUUCUCGUAGCGUUUGAUGAUUCUAGGCUGCUUUGGUCGAUGACACGCGUUGUUGCUUUGUUGCUACACGGCGAGUAGGUCGGUCAACUGUUCGACCCGUCUUGAAACACGGACCAAGGAGUCUAACAUGUACGCGAGUCUUAUGAGCCUGCUCAACUCACGAGGCGUAGCGAAAGCGAAAGACGUGAUCCUCAUGAAAUACUGAGGCGCAACGUCGGCCUAUACGGUGGAAUUUAUUUUCCUCGUAUGGAGCUAGAGCGUACAUGUUAGCACCCGAAAGAUGGUGACCUAUGCUUGGGCAAGAUGAAGCCAGGGGAAACCCUGGUGGAGGUCUGCAGCGUUUCUGACGUGCAAAUCGAUCGUCUGACCUGAGUAUAGGGGCGAAAGGCCAAUCGAACCAUCUAGUAGCUGGUUCCUUCCGA
rnacentral:rRNA from 1 species